rnacentral:rRNA from 1 species
CUGUCGUCAGCUCGUGUUGUGAAAUGUUGGGUUAAGUCCCGCAACGAGCGCAACCCUUAUCCUUUGUUGCCAGCGGUCCGGCCGGGAACUCAAAGGAGACUGCCAGUGAUAAACUGGAGGAAGGUGGGGAUGACGUCAAGUCAUCAUGGCCCUUACGACCAGGGCUACACACGUGCUACAAUGGCGCAUACAAAGAGAAGCGACCUCGCGAGAGCAAGCGGACCUCAUAAAGUGCGUCGUAGUCCGGAUUGGAGUCUGCAACUCGACUCCAUGAAGUCGGAAUCGCUAGUAAUCGUGGAUCAGAAUGCCACGGUGAAUACGUUCCCGGGCCUUGUA